AGAUUAAACUGAAGAGUUUGAUCCUGGCUCAGAUUGAACGCUGGCGGCAUGCCUUACACAUGCAAGUCGAACGGCAGC
rnacentral:rRNA from 1 species